rnacentral:rRNA from 1 species
CCUACGGGCGGCAGCAGUGGGGGAUAUUGCACAAUGGGGGGAACCCUGAUGCAGCGACGCCGCGUGGGUGAAGAAGCGCCUCGGCGCGUAAAGCCCUGUCAGCAGGGAAGAAAAUGACGGUACCUGAAGCAGAAGCCCCGGCUAACUACGUGCCAGCAGCCGCGGUAAUACGUAGGGGGCAAGCGUUCUCCGGAUUUACGGGGUGUAAAGGGGGCGCAGACGGCGAUGCAAGCCAGGAGUGAAAGCCCGGGGACCAACCCCGGGACUGCUCUUGGAACUGCUUGGCUGGAGUGCAGGAGGGGCAGGCGGAAUUCCUGGUGUAGCGGUGAAAUGCGUAGAUAUCAGGAGGAACACCGGUGGCGAAGGCGGCCUGCUGGACUGCAACUGACGCUGAGGCCCGAAAGCGUGGGGAGCAAACAGGAUUAGAUACCCGGGUAGUC